AAGGUCCUCCCAAAUUGUAGCGGGUGUCAGAAUGUCCUUCCUUUUUAACACUAAGUCAUGUUCCGUUGUGUGGACGUACUACACUCUGUUUAUCCAUUGCCAUCCUGUUGAAAGAAGGAGCAGUAUGAAGCCAUAUGGUGGGAUGCUUCCUGCCCCUAUAUUGAUAAAGAGUAGGGCAUCUGUAGCUAAUCAGGUCUUGGGGAAAAGUGUCAACACUGCCCUCUGGUCAGAGAGACAAAACCUCAAGUUGGAGAAGAAGCCCCCUCUGCCUGAUUGCACUCAGUGAAAUGAAUUAGAGAUGACACAACUCUUGGAGGUCUUCCUUCCGCUUCCCCAGGCUCUCAGCGCAUCGAAUUUCACAGUGGAAGAGGCUGAUGGAGAUCAGGGUUGGCGGUCUGCACACUGGGGGCUGGGGAAAUCCUGUUCUUACAGGCAGCCAGUGAGGCUCUCCUGGGUCUGCAAUCACAUCUCUGCCUACCUCUUCCCCUGCAUGGCAUUAAGGGAGCUCAAAUUGCACCGUGGUUUCUGAGAACAAUGAGAUCCGAGCAUGUCACCUGGGCCCUGGACUCUGCACUGUCUGGGAUUCCUCAUUUGGAUGCAACAUUCCCAGAUCACGGUUACCUACGGAAAGAGAAGAGCAUUUGUCCAUUUGUUGAAACUACCUGGGCUCUUUAACGAUAAGUAUCUCUUAGGCUCUCUGCCUGCAGAGUGUGGUAGACUAGAAGAGAAUCCCUUUUGCCCCUUCUUACCUAUUUGGCACACACUUUUGUUGGGAUACUUGUCUCAUUUUGCUGCAGUGAUUUGUUUACAGGUAUGUCGUCCUAUCUAGACAUCCAGACUGGGAGGUGGCCAGAGACCAAUGCCCAGGAUAUGACACGUCUUCCUGUUCCUAAUGCCAGGGCAAAGAUUUCAGCUGUCACAGAGGUAGACAAAGGCAUAUGAUGAUGUCAUCUUGAGAGGUAGCAACAGCAAUGGGAAGAGGUAUGGAAGGAGAAAAAUGUGUGGUAAUUUCAAGAAAGGGUGAGUCACUAUUUCAGUUUUUAAGUGAAUACUGUUUAUAUCAUGCCCCUCCCCAAAUAUAUGUCCAAAUCCUAACAUGCAGAACCUGUGAAUGCAAACUUUUUUUUUUUGGAUAAAGUUUGUAGUUGCAAUGAAGGUAUGGAUUUUGAGAUGAGCUCAUCCUGGAUCAGGGUGGCCCUGAAUUCAAUGGCGGGUGUCCUUAUAAGAGACACAAGAGGAGACACGGACACAGAGGAAAAGCCACGUGAAGACAGAUGCAGAGACGGGAGGGACGCAGUUACAAACCCAGGGACACCUGGAGCCCCAGAAGCUGGAAGAGGAGGAAGGACCCUCCCCUGGAGCCUCUGGAGGGAGCUUGACCCUGCCCCACCUGGAUCUGAGUGGUCCUGCCCCGCCUGGAUCUCAGACUUCUGGUCUCCAGAGCUGGGGGAGGAUACAUUUCUGUUAUGUUAAUCCACCCAAUUUGUGGUCACUUCCCACUGUAACCCCUGUGAAACUAAUAUAUAAGGGAGUUGAGUUUUAUUUUCGGGUCAAAAGUCUUCUUCCAGGAUAACUAGGCAGUCCUCUUAUAUAGUUCUACCUUUCCCCCUUUCAUUGGGAUUAUAACUCAUUUCAUUUCUUCCAUCCUUCUAUCUCUGUGUUCAUUUUAUUUGUUUCCUUUUCAACCCUCUGUUUUAAAACGGUGAGCCUUUGUAUGGUGAUUAUUUCCAACAUCAGUGUGAGCCUUUGUAUGGUGAUUAUUUCCAACAUCAGUGCCUCCGUGUCAAACUGAGACCCAAGCACCCUUUCACCUUGGGUCUGGAAAUCCUGAAGGAGCAGCACAGUUGGUGUGGGCUGGCAGGUGGCAGUUCUUUGACGUGGCGGCGUAUGCCGUAGGUGAGUGGUGGUCGUAGUGUCUCCAUCUGGACUCUCACACUGGUGGUAUGGGUGGAUACUGGAUGCCCACUUGUUUAGGGGCACCUGCUCUUGUGCUCACUUGGACCCUAGAGGCAGCUGUUGAAGGAAGUACUGGAAUGGAGGAGAAGAGCUUGGGCCAACAAACACACAACCACUGAAACGAAAUGAUACCUUUGGCCUUGGUACCAGUUGGUGAUUGUAACAAUGCAUGAUUCCAUGGGGCUUUUUCAGAUCGACUGACCAUAGGUGGAAGGCCUGAGAUGGGCACGUCCUAGGUAAAACCCAGUGUGGGGAAGAUGGCGGUUUCUGCAAGCUGGCUUCUGGGGAUGAGGGAAUCCAGCUGGAAGGCAAAUCCACGCAUGUGCCGAGGGUCUCAGGAGUGAUUUCUCAGGACAAGUGUGGCCACGAAGGUCAACAUUCUCCCACCAGACUGUCAUGCUGGCCGUAAACAAAACUGGUAGUUUGGAGAAGGAUCUACUUCUUGUCAAGCAUGGAGAGGGGAAAGAACAGACAUUGGGAUUAGAGCAGAGCGUGGUUAUUUUGGCCUCUGUUGAGUCCAUAAGUAAAAUAGCCUCUUUGUGGAGGCAAGUUUCCUUCAUUCUAAUGGUAGUUGAUAAAGGGAAAUAACAGGAAAGAGCCAUUAAAAAAAUCAUCCAAAGUCAGAGAUCCACUGCAAGAACAGGUGAUUAUGAGGGUCAUGUUCCCAGGACACCACUUUCUUUGUAAAAUAUGCCCCUUGGGAGAGCAAGCUGGCUUUUGGGGUGCUCUGAGGAGCUAGCAUCACCCCCUCAUCCCGAGGGUCCCGUGGGACGAUGCCAGGGCUAUGUGUUAACGUACAGCAGCUGUAUGCUCAGAGCUCAAGCAUCCUAUAGCCAUAGAACCACUGCAUUUUAAGAUGACAAAGCAUCUCUACAAUUUUCUAGGUUGAUGACCAAUGAGAAGGAUAAAGUCAAACAAAGAUUGCAACUCAGGAGGUUUCCUUAUGGAAAUAGAAUCUUGGGCUCUCCAUUGCACCGGAAUGAGGCAGGCUGCGUGGAGGACAUGCUGGCCGCCUGGGUCAGAACCACGAAGGGGCCAGAGUCUGGUGAUCCUCCAUUCGAGAGCUCGCCAUCCUGCUGUCCCUGGCCACCCAGAAGGACUCAAGAUGGCCUGGGGUCCCAGGUGCCUUGGGCUGCCCAGCAAAACCUGCCCGCGCACGACCAGGAGCAUACCAUAGGUGGUGAGGAAAAGGCACAGGGUCUCUGCAGAGGACGUGAGUCCUGGAGCAGGAAGAGUUCUCUCUGUUUGCAGAUUGCUGCCCCGGAGAGGCUGGGGGGUAGACAAUGCAAACAGGUCACUCCCUACUGCACAGCAGGUCACGGAACGCCCUCACGACAGAACCAAACAACAAUCCAUGGGUUUUAACAAGCUGUUUGCUUAGUGCUUUCCCUUCCCAGAACAGCCACGCUCGGCACUGACAUUGAAAGGACUUAGUAAUGCCCCUAAUUAAUUCUGUGAACAAUGGCAUGGACAUAAGCACCCUCUGCACACUUGGAUGCUCGCAGUAAGAGCAUUGUCAUGUGCUUACCGCAGGGACAAUGGGACUGCGUAUUUAUGGAGUGCCACUCAACAGUAUGAAGCAGGUAAAGCCACAACAUGGCAGAUGGUUGAGGCAGGGCUGGGGGGAGAGAAAACAGGGUUCCCCCAUCCCCCCGCCCCCUCCUCUCUGGCAAGCACGUUUCUCCUCUGGUUUUUGAGUCUCUGUUCAUCUGUUCUGUUUCUUAGAGUCCACGUAUAAGUGAAACCAUAGGGCACUUGUCUUCUUCUGUCUGACUUACUUCACUUAGCAAAACACCGUGUGGGUUCCUCAAAAAAUUAAACAUGGAAACGCCAUAUGAUCUAGCAAUUCCACACCUGGGUAUUUACCACCCUCCCCAAUGAAAACAUUAAUUCAGAAAGAUAUAUACAUCCCCAUGUUUUUUGCAGCAUUACUUACACUAGCCAAGAUAUGGAAGCAGCCCAAGAGUCCAUCAAUGGAUGAGUGGAUACAGAAGACGUGGUGUGUAUAUAUACAAGAGAAGAGUAUUUGUUCUCAUAGUGGGUGAAUGGAUAAAGAUAAUGUGGUGCAGACAUACAAUGGAACCUUAUGGAGUCUUAAAAAGAAGGAAGUCCUGCCUUUUGGGACAACAUGGAUGGACCUUGAGGGCAUCAAGUCAGACACACGAGGCACAACAAGACAAGUACUCUACCAUCUCACUUAUAUAUGGAAUCUACAACAAGUUAAACUCGUAGAAGCCGCGGGCAGAAUGGUGCUUGCCAAGGGCUAGGUUGUGGGGACCUGGGGAGACGUUGGUCAGAGGCACAAAUGUUCAGUGAUUUGAUGAAUAAGUCCCGGGGAUCGAAUGCAGAGCAAGGCGAUUAUUUUUUUUAAAGAUUUUAUUUGUUUAUUUGUCAGAGAGAGAGCGAGCUCAGGCAGGGGGAGCGGGAGGUAGGUGUGAGGUGAUGCGUAUAUUAAUUAACUGGAUUACGGUGAUCAUUUCACGAUGUCUGCGUGUAUCCAGUCAUCACACUGUAAGCCUUAUACAUAUACACAGUUUUACAAGUGUCCAUUGUACAUCAAUAACGCUGGCAGAAAAGAGCGCUUUCUCCUCUAAGAAGUUAAAGAUCAAUACAUUCUGCAACUAAUCUUAAAUAGGAAAAAAAAAAAAAGAGGGUUGGUUGUAUCUCUGUUUGUUCUCUAAGAAAUUAA